rnacentral:lncRNA from 1 species
ACCUUCGACUAAAUUUCCCAACCAACAGAUCCAAAAUGCAUUGCCCUCAAUUUCAAUGCAGCUGAGUACGACGUAGCAACAUGUGAUCCUCUUCUGUACAAUUACGCCAAGUGCGCGUUGACAUCUACUGGGCUCCUGAAGCCUGACAAGACAGUGGACGAUGUGGCCUUGCAGAAGGUUUUCUUGCAGAACAAAUGCAGCAAUGACACCAACUUCGCAAAGGCUUACCCGACAUGCAAGAGCUCCACCAUGAAAUAUUUGAACUUUUUUCGGCUCCGGUUGUGUCUCCAAAAUGCAGUGCCCUAACCAGCUCACUCAAUGGAGGAAAACAUAAUGAAUCGGAACAAGACUGACUGAACUCGCCCUCUAAUGGGAUUUUACCGGGAUUUUGGGGGGAUUUUUUUUUUUUUUUUGGUGCACGGGAUUUUCCUAUUUUAUAUUAAAUUUGGU